rnacentral:rRNA from 1 species
GACGAACGCUGGCGGCGUGCUUAACACAUGCAAGUCGAACGGAAAGGCCCUGCUUUUGUGGGGUGCUCGAGUGGCGAAAGGGUGAGUAACACGUGAGUAACCUGCCCUUGACUUUGGGAUAACUUCAGGAAACUGGGGCUAAUACCGGAUAGGAGCUCCUGCUGCAUGGUGGGGGUUGGAAAGUUUCGGCGGUUGGGGAUGGACUCGCGGCUUACCAGCUUGUUGGUGGGGUAGUGGCUUACCAAGGCUUUGACGGGUAGCCGGCCUGUGAGGGUGACCGGCCACAUUGGGACUGAGAUACGGCCCAGACUCCUACGGGGGGCAGCAGUGGGGAAUAUUGCACAAUGGGCGGAAGCCUGAUGCAGCCACGCCGCGUGCGGGAUGACGGCCUUCGGGUUGUAAACCGCUUUCGCCUGUGACGAAGCGUGAGUGACGGUAAUGGGUAAAGAAGCACCGGCUAACUACGUG